UAGGGUUCGAUUCUGGCUCAGAACGAACGUUGGCGGCACGCUUAACACAUGCAAGUCGAACGAGAAACCCGAGCUUGCUCGGGUGGACAGUGGCAGACGGCUUAGUAACGCGUGGGUAUCUACCUAGAGGUUUGGAACAACUAUUGGAAACGAUAGCUAAUACCAAAUAUUCCCUAAGGGGGAAAGAUUUAUCGCCUUUAGAUGAGCCCGCGUCGGAUUAGCUUGUUGGUAGGGUAAAGGCCUACCAAGGCAACGAUCCGUAGCUGGUCUGAGAGGAUGAUCAGCAAGAUUGGGACUGAGACACGGCCCAGACUCCUACGGGAGGCAGCAGUGGGGAAUAUUGCGCAAUGGGGGAAACCCUGACGCAGCGAUGCCGCGUGAGUGAAGAAGGCCUUAGGGUUGUAAAACUCUUUCACCGGUGAAGAUAAUGACGGUAGCCGGAGAAGAAGCCCCGGCUAACUCCGUGCCAGCAGCCGCGGUAAUUCA
rnacentral:rRNA from 1 species